UCAUGGAUGACAAUCAUGGAUGACAAUCAUGGAUGACAAUCAUGGAUGACAAUGAAAAUCAUGGAGAUGACAAUUGACAAUCAUGGAUGACAAUCAUGACUGACAAUGACAAUCAUGGAGAUGACAAUUGACAAUCAUGGAUGAAAAUCUGUAAAUUCUACUGUAUAGGUUGAAGACGAUUCGGUAAACCCUUCGGAUGAUCCUAUAGAUGAUUCAAGACCUGAAGAUUGAAGAUAUAGAAGCAAGAUUCAAUCUGAUUAUAUUUGAUCUUGUUUAAUUGUCAAAAAGGAAUGAGAAAGUUUAAAGCGCGUAGUUGGACUACAAGUAUGUGAUUAGGAUGUAUAAACCUAUCACAAUCUUCGUACCUGGAAUAUAUAUAGAUCUAAGUAGAGGCUGCGUUUCUGCCGAAACUUGGGCAACCUUUUUGCGCAAGCGCUGCAGUGUGGUCUAAAACUCCCUUUUGGGUAAGAGAAGAAAAAACAUUCUUCUAAAAAAUAUGCAAAAACUAAUAAAGCAUUUUUAUAGACUGAGCAGCGUGUAAAGGUUGAACGGUCGAAGUUUCUCUCGACAAAGAUUAAAUAGGUAUUAAAUCUAAAAUGUAUUUUCUAAUUAUGCAUACAAAAAUACACCACGGUUUUCUAUAAGUAACUUUUAUAGA